rfam:Puccinia graminis f. sp. tritici CRL 75-36-700-3 supercont2.105 genomic scaffold, whole genome shotgun sequence.
GGACGCAUGGCCCAGUGGUAAGGCGCUCGCCUUCGAUGCGGGAUGAGCAGCUUUCCUCGAGAGCGAGAGAUCGUCGGUUCGACCCCGGCUGCGUUCA